GAUGAACGCUGGCGGCGUGCCUAAUACAUGCAAGUCGAGCGAAUGGAUUAAGAGCUUGCUCUUAUGAAGUUAGCGGCGGACGGGUGAGUAACACGUGGGUAACCUGCCCAUAAGACUGGGAUAACUCCGGGAAACCGGGGCUAAUACCGGAUAACAUUUUGAACCGCAUGGUUCGAAAUUGAAAGGCGGCUUCGGCUGUCACUUAUGGAUGGACCCGCGUCGCAUUAGCUAGUUGGUGAGGUAACGGCUCACCAAGGCAACGAUGCGUAGCCGACGUGAGAGGGUGAUCGGCAACACUGGGACUGAGACACGGCCCAGACUCCUACUGGAGGCAGAAGUAGGGAAUCUUCCGCAAUGGACGAAAGUCUGACGGAGCAACGCCGCGUGAGUGAUGAAGGCUUUCGGGUCGUAAAACUCUGUUGUUAGGGAAGAACAAGUGCUAGGUGAAUAAGCUGACACCUUGACGGUACCUAACCAGAAAGCAACGGCUAACUACGUGCCAGCAGCCGCAGUAA
rnacentral:rRNA from 1 species